UAAAAUUAACCUCCUGCUCUCUCCUCCCAGUCACAGUUCCCGCAAAACGUCCUCUUUCUCAGGUGACCGGCGAAGCCACCGGCGAAACCACACUCGCACCCUCUCUCCUCCUUCUCAGGCGACAACAGAGGUGUUCUUCCCCACUCAAUUCGAAGAAAACAAUUGCUGAAAGCCGCCGAAUUUGCACUACCAAAGCUUGCGAAAAUCCUACUUGCGAUGAAAUUGGUGAUUGCUGCAAAUUUCUCAAUCUUCCUUGCCAUAAAGAGGCUGAGAAGGCGUAUCCAAGAGAAUUUAUGCAGAGAGGGAGGGUGAGGGUAUUGCUAAAACAAGAAGAUGGGAGUUUGUGUAAUCCUGAUAUUUCGUCGAUGUUGCGUUGAUGAGGCUAGCUGAGAUGGACUACUGUGGGACUACCAGGUUCGUCGAACAGAUGUUCUCUCUACAUGGAGUGGAAUUCGUCCAUUGGCUAUGGAUCCAACAACCAAGAACACAGAAAGUAUCUCCCGUGAUCACGUUGUUUGUGAAGAUUUCCCUGGCUUGAUUACCAUUACUGGUGGAAAAUGGACCACAUAUAGAAGGAGAGCAGCGACUGCAGCACAAAAACAUAGUUGAAAGCUUCAAAAAGAGAUUAUCAACAGAAAAACAGUAGGGAUAAUUACAGCUCUUACGUACUUCAUACGCUCCAAGUCUUCUUCGUUUACAACUUCUUCUGCUAAGGUUUUCACAACUCCAAAGGAGGGGCCAUUUUCCAAAGAGGAGUUGGAUGAAGUUCGAGACAAGUGGGCUACUUACUUCAACGAUUUUGAACUACCCUCAGUCUAAUAAAUAGAGCAGGCUUGUAGUUAUCCGUGACUCUUACAUUAUUUUUUUAUUUAUCGAUUUAAUUAAUUACCUUUGAAUUAAUUCAGUAAUAUUAUUGGAAAUUUAAAAUUUAUAUCAUUUUUGAGGAAUGUCAAGAUGAUGUUUGGUGAAACAGUAUUCUAUAAAUUAUAAUGCAGAAUUUUAUAUUGCAAAA